rnacentral:rRNA from 1 species
AAAAAAAUGAUAUAUAAGUAUUACUUGUAAAUAUAUAAGUAUAUAAAGAAACUAUUAUGGAAUUUAAGCUAUGUAUUAAAGAGAAUUAUUUAUAUAUAUAGAGAUAUAAUAUCCUAUAAUUAUAUGAACUCUAAGAGAAAUCUAAUAUUAAACGAAGUGAAUUGAAAUAUCUUAGUAACUUCAGGAAAAGAAAUCAAAAGAGAUUCUAUGAAUAGCGUGAGCGAAAGUAGAGUAGCCUAUAAAGUAGAACGGUAUCAAAACUGUUUAAAUGUAAUGGGGAACCUUCCUCAAAGGCUAAAUAUAAUACAUAAGCGAUAGUGAAAAGUACCAUGAGGGAACAAAAACAAAAAUAGUAGUUUUAUAAGCAGUUCGAUAAAAAGAACGUACCUUUUGCAUAAUGGGUCACCAAGUUAACGUUAGAUGCGAGUAUACGCGUAGUUAAACCGAACGUUAAAAUAACGAAAUAGUGUCUAAAGUUAGACCCGAAGCACGGUGAUUUUACCAUGGUCAGGAUUAUAAAAGUCCGAACGGGUGAUUGUAGCAAAAAUCUCCGAAGAACUGUGGUAGGUGUAGUGAAAGACAACACUGACUGUGAUAGCUGGUUUUCUGCGAAACCUAUAAUAGUAGGCAAUUUAAGUAAAUAUCUUAGCAGGUACAGAAUUUAAUCUCAGACAAGGCGUGUAAGCGUUUUAUAUUGUAUAAAUUGGGGAAUCAUGAAGAUUUUAUCAGUGAGUAUGUAGACUCGGAAUGGCAAAGAUAUGUCUUAAAUUAUCAGACAUAGAAUGAUAAGGUUUGUAUGUCGAAAGGGAAACAGCCCAGAACAAGAGUUAAGGUUCCUAAAUUAUUAGUUAAGUGAAAUUAAGAAGGUUUUUAUUAAAGUCGACAAGGAGAUAGGCUUAGAAGCAGCCAUAAUUUUAUGACCUCGUAACAGAGCGCUUGUUAAGUUAUAAAAGCAUCGAAAAUUUAACGGAUCUAAACAAUAUACCGAAACCUUGUCCAUAAUAUAUUAUAUUAAUUAUUUUAAUGUAAUUUAAUGGGGUAGCAGAACGUUGAGCUAGAUUAUGAUUUCUAUUUUUUAAAUAGAAUUAUAUUAAUUUAACUCAAGUGAGAAUGGUGACAUGAGUAACGAAAAGAAAAUUUUCCGCCUUAAGCUUAUGGAUAUAAUUAAGUAACGGCCUCUAAGUUUAUAUUAUCUAAAGAUUUAAACGAUGAGUAAAUCUUUUUUACUAAGGACAACAUUUUAGUGUAAAAUGUGCUGGAAAAAUAGUAAAUAUAUUUGUUAUUUAUAACAAAUGAACAAUAACCGUACCUAGAAUCUGAAACAAGUAAGCUAGUAGAGAAUACGAAGGCGUAAAUGAGCUAACAAUCAUAAAGGAACUCGGCAAAUUGACUACCGUAACUUCGGAAUAAGGAGGGCUCAUUAUUCUUGAUUAAUAUCAAGUAAAGAGGAAGAAGCAUGAAAUAAUGUUGUACGACUGUUUAAUUAAAACACAGCACUUUGCUGAAAGAUUAAAAAUCUAUGUAUAAAGUGUGAUAUCUGCCCGGUGCCGGCUGGUUAACAGAGAUAAUUGAAUAUACUACUAUUUGAUGUCGACGGAAACCCCGGUUAAAGGCGGCCUUAACGUGAGGGUCCUAAGGUAGCGAAAUGCCUUGGCCGUUAAAUGCGGUCUUGCAUGAAUGGUGUAACGAUACAACAGCUGUCUCUAUGAUUGACUCAGUGAAAUUGGAAUAGCUGUGCAGAUACAGCUUACCUCUAGUUAGACGAGAAGACCCUAUGCAGCUUUACUGUCACUAAUUAUAGAGUAUGAUAGACAAUUUUCAGAAUAUAAGGUAAUUGACAAUAUGACAAUGAGAAUCCUUUAUUUUUCUUUCAUAUGAAUGAAUUGGUUUAGGAUUAUGAGUAGAUUGUAAUUAAUGUGGCUUAUUACUGAGUCAUUUAAAAACAUUAAUUAUAGUCUUUAAAUUAUUAUAUAGCUCAUUUUAGUAAAUCAGCCUAAUUCAACUUAUUAUUUUAGAAUAGUAAGUACCCUUUGGCAAGGAACUAUCGCUAGGGGACAGUUUAUGUGGGGCACAGACCCUGUAAAGAGUAAACAGGAGUGUCUAAUAAUUAUAAAUUAUUUUGUUUGCUAUUUUGAGUAGUUUAACUAUUUUUAAUCAUAUAUAAUUAUUUAUAUUUGCAUUUAUUGUAAAUAUAUUUAAGUUUAGGUAGGAUUUUUACUAUACAGAAAUUAGAGAUAAUUGAAAAUAUUAUGAAUUCUUUCUAAUGUUUUUUAGCUAUCAUUUUUGAUAGUUAUGUAUUUAAUAUCUAAAAAGCUCAACGGCUAAAUCUUGCCUUACUGUUUGAUUAUCUACAAAUCUUACAGUUGCGUAAGCAGGGCAUAGGAUCACAAGAUGCAAUAAGGAAAGAUCUUGGAUUAUUGGAAAAGCUACGCUAGGGAUAACAGGCUAAUUUGCGCAAGAGUGUACAAAAUGAGUGCGCGGUUUGGCACCUCGAUGUCGGCUUAACUUAUCCUCAUGGACGCAGGAACUAUGUAGGGUGCGACUGUUCGUCGAUUAAAAAGUUACAUGAGCUGGGUUAAAUACGUCGUGAGACAGUAUGGUUUCUAUCUUCUAGGGGGAAUUAGAAUAAAAUAAGAACGAACUUUUGUACGCAAGGAACAAGAAGAGUUUAGCCCGUAAAAAAGGUUAAAAUAUAGUUACUAACCUAUGGUUUACCUGUUGUUUAUGUGCCCAAAUAUUAAAUAUAUAUGCUAUUGUAUAUAUAUAUAUGUAUUAUUAUACAUAGGGAUGUUUCUCUCACUAAGAUAAAUGUAUAGCAUAAGCACGGCAGGAACGCUAAGUUGGUUAAGGAUAAGUGCUGAAAGCAUAUAGGCACGAAGCUUAUCUUAAGAUAUUUCUUAAAUAUACGUAAUAUACUAUUACGAAAUUUAUAGGCUUUAUCCGUACGAAUCUAGAGAUUUUAAAGAAUAAAGUACUAAUUUAAUAAUUCACUAUUUAUAAAUAUAUCA